UGAACGUUGGCGGCGUGGAUUAGGCAUGCAAGUCGAGCGAGAAUCUGUUGAAUGAUCCUUCGGGUGAAUGAUUCAGAGGACAGCGGCAGACGGGGUAGUAAUACAUAGGUUACGUACCCUCAGGACCGGGAUAGCCACGGGAAACUGUGAGUAAUACCGGAUAAUCUCCAUGGAGCAAAUGGUGUGAUUCCGCCUGAGGAGCGGCUUAUGCGAUACUAGGUUGUUGGUGGGGUAAUGGCCUACCAAGCCUGAGAUGUCUAGGGGGUGUGAGAGCAUGGCCCCACCACUGGGACUGAGACACUGCCCAGACACCUACGGGUGGCUGCAGUCGAGAAUCUUCCACAAUGGGCGAAAGCCUGAUGGAGCGACGCCGCGUGCGGGAUGAAGGCCCUUGGGUUGUAAACCGCUGUCAGAGGGGAUGAAAUCCUUGGGGGCUAUCCCCCUUGGUUGACAGAGCCUCAGAGGAAGCACGGGCUAAGUUCGUG
rnacentral:rRNA from 1 species